rnacentral:sRNA from 1 species
AUUAAAACCGGUCUUUGCCAUGAAGAGCAGCAGCUCAUGAAACGAUUUUAUUAAAGAAAAUAAAUUACUGCCUGUGGUCUCUAUAAUGAGUUUCAAAGUGGUUUCAAAGUUGUAUCUUACAUAGCUUUUGGAAUAGGUUCCAGAAAUUGGAGUCAACAGAAACCAGAUUUGUUCAGACUUUGUGACUAUAGUCGCUGGUCUUGUAUGCACGGACUACAAGUUAAUUUGGUGUCAGGGAUGGCACAAGCCAACGACACAAAACGGGGACAAAUGAAUCCUUUGUUGGAGGGGAGACAGUCGUUUUACUUGGUACAUUUUCUAAUCUGCCAGAAAAGACCAAUUUAGAAUGAAACCCAAGGACUGUGUAUUGCUGGGUGUUUGCUGCUUGGAAUGAAUUCAUUGUAUGUCGACAAACCGGAGAUGGUUUUCUCCUUGUAAGGGGUUUCUGUCUCAAAUUGCAUCAUGGCUGUUGUGUACAAUUUGUCUGUUCCAUUAUCACAGUGGUAUACCCUCCUGGAAGAAAACAAAAUGACCCUGAUUUAAAAAAUGACAUGGUUUUCAUGGUUUUAUGUUUCCUGUGAUAAAAAUCUGGAGAUGUUUUUAGUCUUUGUUUGUGUUCAAGUUUUUGUUACCUUAUUUGUAAUAUGACUAGUUGAAUUGGUUAAAAAUCAUUAUGGUAUAAAUGAAGAAAUUUCAGAUUAUUUAUGUUAAAAAGGGCCUUGGCUAGCUUUUAUUAAAAAAAAUCUUGCAUUAGGUUUUACAACUUGCUCUCAAAGAUGAUCCCCAUGACAUAAGCAAUACUAACAUUUCAGGGGAUAUGAAUGUUUUUUAUUACACACAAUUGACUGAUUUAAUGAAAAUAAAAUUUGAAAAGAAGUCAAAUGUCAUUUAUACUAUGGCUUUAUAUUGUUCUUUUUUAUGGGACCAGUAAAACAUUUGUUGAUACUUUCAGUGACUUUAGCAUUUUAGUUAAAGCUUCCUAGUUUGAUAGAACCUAGGUGACACUAGCAGCAAGAAUGGAUUACUAUUCAAAUGAUUGUAAUUGUUUUUACUUCUACAAGUGAUUUGAAAAUAGUUUUUGUGUUUUGGUGGGUCCUCACUUUUAAUAAAUGAUCAAAAACACAACAAAAUGUAGCUGAUGCCAUAGAUUUCAAUCCUUCUGUAUAUUUGUAUUAUCUACAAACUAUAUUGGCCAAGAAUGAAUUAUUGCUUGUAUGCUGUUGAUGAGAGCUUUAAGUAAUGCUUUGUCUGUUAAUUAGACUGUGUUUAUGGUGAAUCCGGGUGGCAUGACAUUCACCAUAAUGACUAUGUUAUGUAUUAUUGUUCAAUAUCAUUACUUCUGCUGGUCUAAGUCCCUGGAAUCCAGAGUCAUCAAGUUCUUCCAACUCUGAAUUAGUCUUUCAGGGGGCAAUCUGAAUGUCUUUUACGAAAGGCCAGGGAAUUAGAAAUCACAAUACAGAGGAGUUUAUUAACUGAAAAAUGAGAUCAGAGCUUGGAUCAAUGCUUUGUUCAUUCAGAUUUUUAUUCCAUUGUAUUGGUCUGACAGUAAGUCUAUAUGGUGGGGUGUUUGGUAUCUUGUUUUUAAUUUGUUUUUUGAUGUUUUUAUGUUGUUAUCCAUAAUUGUUUGAUGUAUGAGAACUAAUAAAAUUUUAAUAUAUUUUUGAUAGAGUG